GGUAAGGGGUAAUUCGCCGAGGGGCGCGGACCAGACCGACCUCGGGUCGGGCCCGGGAACCCCGAGAGGAGAGCCCAGCCCCUGGUGGAGGCGGCUUGGCGGAGAUUCGGAGCCGUCAGCAGCUCAGCCCGACGCCCAGGAUCCCACCCCUUGCAAAAGACCAGGCCGUGGAAGCCAUGUUCCCACCAGCCAGGGGGAAGGUGCAGGAAUGCAGAUGGCUGAGUAGGUCAGAUUGAGGACAUGGCAGCGCAGCUCUGGUAAAAGAGUGACACUCUGGAUAAUGGUGAGAAAGGGCCUGCAACCGUAGCAGUGGAAUUCAAGUUUGAUAGGCAGGAAAGAAAGUCCGUAUAAUUUGGGAGGUUCUGGUGUCUGCCUGCAGAGGGGAGCUAUGUGAAGCUUCUCAGGAUGGUGUCAGGAUGGGGGUGGGCAUUUCCUGUUACUGACCACUUAUAGGACAGCGAACGUUUGCCCUUUCCCUGCACACAUCCCCUCUGAACCCAUGCAGUGUCUUGUGAGAGCAGGGAGUGUGUAGACAGCCGCUGGGCCCCUUUGCCCCGAGGGCUGCAGUGGUGUGGGAGGGACAGUGUGGCAGCUUCAGUGCUCAGCCCACUGGAGCGGGCAGUCACUUGCAGAUGUAAUGUCCCUGUGCUCACUGUGCUGUGUCCACUGUUGCCCACUCUGGAUAUGCUCCCCAGGCAUCUGCGCCUUGGUCUGUACCUUUUAUAUUCUCCAGCAACGGGCUCCCCUGGUCUCCGGCAUCUGCUUGGCUUGUGGCAAUGGGAUGAAGAGGGUUGGAGGACGGGGGACAGGGCGCCGGAGGCCUGGGGAAAACAGGUUGGGUUUCUCUUCCCACGGCUCCCUCCCCACUGGGCUGUGGGAUGGGUGUGGCUGCAGCCUGUUCGGUCGUAGCUGCAGUCUUGCUCCCCUUCCAGCAGCCUUCUGGGCUCCAGCAGCCCUCCCCACCUUACCCCUUCAGACCUAGCAGGCCCUGGUUCCCCAGGGUGGCCAGGACCUGCGAGCUUCCACAUUUCUUGUUCAUGUUCAUUGAGACUGUUCAUCCCUUUGUAAAUAGUCUGCACAUUAACCAACCCCCCAGUGACCUCAUCUCUUUCCUAAGGAACCUGGGGCAGAAGCAAUAGGUUAUUUUUAUAGAGCAGCGGUCAGCAAACUGCCCUGAACCGCUUGGUAAAGUUUCCCUGAAACACAGCUGUGCCCAUUCGCUUACUUGUCCACGGCUGCUUUUGUGCUCCAACACAAAGGCUGUUCCUCAGAUUGUUGAUUUGAGGAACUGGAACAGAGACCAGAGGGCCUGAAAAGCCUAAAAUAUUUACCAUCUGGCCCUUUAGAGAUUAAUUGUAUCGACCCCGUGGCAUGGAAGCCAGCACAUGUCUGGCCUGAGGGCCAUCAGGCCUGAAAGGAGCCCUGAAUAUAUUCCUUAUGAACUGGGUGCCCUUGGCCCACACUCUUUACCUCCCAAACCUCGGUUUCCUCAGCCGUGGAAUAAUCAUUGCGCGUAAGUUAUUUUAAGAAUUGCAGUUACCUUUAUCAGCUACUUUUCCAGGAGCUGCUCUCGUUUGAGGAUGUGGCGAUGUACUUCACCAGAGAGGAGUGGGGCCACCUCAGCUGGGGUCAGAAGGACCUCUACCGAGAUGUGAUGUUGGAGAACUACAGGAACAUGGUCUUGCUGGGUAGGACACGGCUUGAAGAUUGGGCUUUGUCUGUGUUCUGAGUGUCUGUGCAAGCCCUUAGUCCCUUAUCUGCAAUUCCAGAAUCAGAAAAAGCGGUGAAAACCGAAAGUUUUUUUCAUAACUCGUGUGGCUACAAGCCCUGACCAGACAUCACCACAGUGAAACCUGACUUCAUCCUAUAGGAAACCAUUUAUUGUCUUUAUUUUUCCAACUGGUGUGCAUAUCUGUAUACCCAACUUCAGAAAUAACAGCGUAGGUCAGGUGCGGUGGCUCACACCUGUAAUCCCAGCACUUUGGGAAUCCGAGGCAGGUGGAUGACAUGAGGUCAGUAGUUCGAGACCAGCCUGGCCAAUAUGGUGAAACCCAUCUCUACUUAAGAUGCGAAAAUUAGCCUGGUGUGGUGGUGCACACUUGUAGUCCCAGUUACUUGGGAGGCUGAGGCAGAGGAUCGCUUGAACCUGGGAGGCAGAGGUUGCAUUGAGCCGAGAUCAUGCCGCUGCAUUCUAGCCUGGGUGACAGAGCGAGACUCCGUCUCAAAACAAAACAAAACAACAAAAAUAACAGUGUAUUUGAGGGCACCACUCCAAACCCUACUGGGGAUGAUAGGUUAUGUAAAAUAUUUACAGCAGGUCACCUUUCUGAAAUUGGAAAAAUUCUGAUUCCUGAAACACAUCUGGUCCUAAGGGUUUCACAUAAGGGACUGGGGACAGUGAAUAGUCAUGUUGUGUUAGGGCUCAGACCAAGACACUUCAUGCAUCCUUCACUCUCACCCCGUGUUCCUCAUCUGUAAGACCUCCAGGAGUUGAGAAUUAUGGUAGAUUUACAUUCCAAAGCCUCACUUCUUAUGCUCUUGAAAGUCUUUUUCUUUCUUUUCUCUGGAAAUGGGUAACUUCUUGGUGUGUAACGUUAGUGGGUGCUCAGGAAAUGAUUUUCAACCAACUUCAUUUCUGAACCUUCACUGCUUCCAUUCUUUUCAGGAGCCUACCCUGUCCUAUUCCACUGUAGUCUCCCACUGUGGGAGUUGCCUUGCUAGUUUUCUUUCUGGGGCCACAUGUUUAACCCUUGCACUGAUACUCUUAGCACAGAGUCUUGACCACCUCUUGUGGGAUUGUCCACCCACCUCUGGAUUUUUAUAAUUUUAAUUUUCCCUUUAAAAGCAUUACAAGAGCAUACAUAAGUACAUGGAAGGCAUAGAAAAGGAGGAGGAGAAGAGGAAAGUGUUCAUGGGUAACACUGUUAAUAUUUUGGAAGGUUUCCUGCCAGUCUUUUUUUCCUAUGCCUUUACAAAAGUAGCUGAGCAUAUUCUGUGUGUAAUCCUGUAAUCUGUUUUAAAUUUAACAUUAUUGUAUCAGCAUUUCCCCACAGAAUCAGUAAACGAGCAUAAUAUAAUUCCAUUGUGUGGUCCAUAAUAAUAUUUCAUUGUUUUCCCAUGUGGGGACAUUGAGCUUGGCUUUGUUUUUGUUCGUUGGUUUGCUUGUGUAUUUAUAAUGUUUGAAUAGAUAUUUCUGAGUAUAAAUCUUUGUAUGAAUUUUUGAUCAUUUCCCAAGAUACUUUCCUAAAAUCAGAACUUUGAAGUUAAAUGAGAUGGCACUUUAAUCUUUAUUGAUUACUGAAUGAUUCUUCCAUAAACUUUGUACUGUUUUGCGUAUCCAAUAGUAACAUAGUAACAUUUGAGAGUGCUUCUUUUUUUUUUUUUUUUUUUUUGAGACAAAGUUUCGCUCUUGUUGCCCAGGCUGGAGUACAAUGGCGUGAUCUCAGCUCACCACAACCUCUGCCUCCCGGUUCAAGUGAUUUCUCCUGCCUCAGCCUCCUGAGUAGCUGGGAUUACAGGCAUGCGCCACCACACCUAGCUAAUUUUGUAUUUUUAGUAGAGACGGGGUUUCGCCAUGUUGGUCAGGCUGGUCUCGAACUCCCGAUCUCAGGUGACCUGCCCACCUCAGCCUCCCAAAGUGCUGGGAUUACAGGUGUGAGCCACCGCGCCCAGCUGAGAGUGCUUCUUUACUAUAUCACUGCCUUCUUUUAUGGAUUUUACUAGUUCUAAAAAUAAUUUUCAUUACAGAAAUUUUGGAAAAUACAUCAGUAAAUAGAGUAGAUAAUAAAAAUCACCUGCAGGCCUACUUUCCAGAAGUAACUCUUGUUAUUAACAUUUUGGUUUACUUUUUCCCAGUCCGUCUAUGUGUCUAUUACAGGGAAAGGAUCCCUUAUCCAAAAUGCUGGGGACCAAAAGUGUUUUGGAUUUCGGAUUUUUUUUUUUUUAUUUUGGAAUACUCAUAAAUAUAUAAGAUGAUAAUUUGAGGAUCUGACAAGAAAUUCACUUAUGUUUCAUAUACACCUCAGACAUGUAGCUUGAAGGUCC
rnacentral:sRNA from 1 species